rnacentral:rRNA from 1 species
AUCAGAAGUGCGAAUGCUGACAUAAGUAACGAUAAAGCGGGUGAAAAGCCCGCUCGCCGGAAGACCAAGGGUUCCUGUCCAACGUUAAUCGGGGCAGGGUGAGUCGACCCCUAAGGCGAGGCCGAAAGGCGUAGUCGAUGGGAAACAGGUUAAUAUUCCUGUACUUGGUGUUACUGCGAAGGGGGGACGGAGAAGGCUAUGUUGGCCGGGCGACGGUUGUCCCGGUUUAAGCGUGUAGGCUGGUUUUCCAGGCAAAUCCGGAAAACCAAGGCUGAGGCGUGAUGACGAGGCACUACGGUGCUGAAGCGACAAAUGCCCUGCUUCCAGGAAAAGCCUCUAAGCAUCAGGUAACAUCAAAUCGUACCCCAAACCGACACAGGUGGUCAGGUAGAGAAUACCAAGGCGCUUGAGAGAACUCGGGUGAAGGAACUAGGCAAAAUGGUGCCGUAACUUCGGGAGAAGGCACGCUGAUAUGUAGGUGAAGCGACUUGCUCGUGGAGCUGAAAUCAGUCGAAGAUACCAGCUGGCUGCAACUGUUUAUUAAAAACACAGCACUGUGCAAACACGAAAGUGGACGUAUACGGUGUGACGCCUGCCCGGUGCCGGAAGGUUAAUUGAUGGGGUUAGCGGUAACGCGAAGCUCUUGAUCGAAGCCCCGGUAAACGGCGGCCGUAACUAUAACGGUCCUAAGGUAGCGAAAUUCCUUGUCGGGUAAGUUCCGACCUGCACGAAUGGCGUAAUGAUGGCCAGGCUGUCUCCACCCGAGACUCAGUGAAAUUGAACUCGCUGUGAAGAUGCAGUGUACCCGCGGCAAGACGGAAAGACCCCGUGAACCUUUACUAUAGCUUGACACUGAACAUUGAGCCUUGAUGUGUAGGAUAGGUGGGAGGCUUUGAAGUGUGGACGCCAGUCUGCAUGGAGCCGACCUUGAAAUACCACCCUUUAAUGUUUGAUGUUCUAACGUUGGCCCGUAAUCCGGGUUGCGGACAGUGUCUGGUGGGUAGUUUGACUGGGGCGGUCUCCUCCUAAAGAGUAACGGAGGAGCACGAAGGUUGGCUAAUCCUGGUCGGACAUCAGGAGGUUAGUGCAAUGGCAUAAGCCAGCUUGACUGCGAGCGUGACGGCGCGAGCAGGUGCGAAAGCAGGUCAUAGUGAUCCGGUGGUUCUGAAUGGAAGGGCCAUCGCUCAACGGAUAAAAGGUACUCCGGGGAUAACAGGCUGAUACCGCCCAAGAGUUCAUAUCGACGGCGGUGUUUGGCACCUCGAUGUCGGCUCAUCACAUCCUGGGGCUGAAGUAGGUCCCAAGGGUAUGGCUGUUCGCCAUUUAAAGUGGUACGCGAGCUGGGUUUAGAACGUCGUGAGACAGUUCGGUCCCUAUCUGCCGUGGGCGCUGGAGAACUGAGGGGGGCUGCUCCUAGUACGAGAGGACCGGAGUGGACGCAUCACUGGUGUUCGGGUUGUCAUGCCAAUGGCACUGCCCGGUAGCUAAAUGCGGAAGAGAUAAGUGCUGAAAGCAUCUAAGCACGAAACUUGCCCCGAGAUGAGUUCUCCCUGACUCCUUGAGGGUCCUGAAGGAACGUUGAAGACGACGACGUUGAUAGGCCGGGUGUGUAAGCGCAGCGAUGCGUUGAGCUAACCGGUACUAAUGAACCGUGAGGCUUAACC